CUAUAGCCCUAGUCCUAACCCUAAAGCUAACCCUAUAGCCCUAGUCCUAACCCUAGCCCUAAAGCUAACCCUAUAGCCCGGCUGUAGCUACAGCUACAAAGGCAGAGAGGUCUUAUAGCUCAUCAUCAAAACCUGCAGUUCUGUCUGGGUGUCAGAGCUACUAACCAAUAAUAUCAGGUCAUCUCUGGCUCCAGACUUGUAGUUCCUGUCACCUCACACUGUGGUUGAUUCUCGUCAUCUUUCUAAUAUCAGUUAGAUCAUGAAGAACAAACUACAAGAAAGGGGCAUAGCUGACACCUAUGAAGGAAUCUUUUCACACGUUUGAGUCUGAUACAGCAACGUACUGCGGUUGAAGCCUAUUCAUGACUUUGGAGAAAAAGACAUGAUGACCAGUAUACACAUUAGAAGGACAAUGAUGAAACUCUGUCUGUUGUAUGAAGAAAAUCUAUCUGUUAUUCCAAACAGCUUUGUCUCUUGCUGUUGUUGUCACUCAGUCUGUUUGGAGCACCUUCACUCUUGGAGACACAGUUGAUUUGGAAUGCUUCAUCACUGUGGAUGACGAUGACAGGACAAGCCCCAGAUGUCAUCUCUGUAUUCUCACUGCAAUUGUCUUUGGAGAGUUUGACAAAAAGCUUUGCUUUGCUACAAGGAAGAGUGGCACCAGAUUUGUGCUGACCAUCUCAGAUUCCACGGCAUCCAACAUGGGGAUGUAUUACUGUGCUGCAAUUGAUUAUGAAAGCAUGAUCUUCGGGAGUUGUGUUUUUCUGAAACAUCAGGGUACAUCUGAUACAUUCAGGUGUUGUAUCUUCUAUUUUAGCAAAUAUAUGUUGUAUUUGGAAAUUGUGCAAGUCAUUGAUAGCAAUGUGAUUUUAUAAUCCUGGAAAAGCUGCAGAUUCCAGGACCCAGCAUGUUGAACAGUAGUCUGUGUCUGAGUCAGUCUAGCCAGAAGAGUCUGAACUGUAAAAUACACACAGACCUGUGCAGGAGAACAGAACGUCUAUUGGUUCAGGCAUGGCUCAGGAGAAUCUCGUCCAGGAAUCAUUUACACCAAUAGAGACAGGAGUGAUCAGUGUGAGAAGAGCCCUGAGGCUGGGUCUCCUACACAGAGCUGCGUCUACAACCUCCCAAAGAGGAACCUCAUUCUCUCUGAUGCUGGGACGUGCUACUGUGCUGUGGCCUCAUGUGGGGAGAUACUGUUUGGGAAUGGGACCAAGCUGGAUGUUGAAGAUGGUGACAUUGAUCCACAGAUGACAAUCUUGGUCCUUCUCUCCAUCAUAAGAACUGGAGUUCUCCUCUGCUGUCCUACCAUCUUCAUCACCUACACCAUGAAAUAGAUACAUCUAUGGCCAAUAUCAAUAGACUGACCAUAUGUAUGUUACUUGCUUUCACCAAAUCCCUGUGUAUUCACUUAUUGUAUUAGCAUGAAUAAAUAGCACUGAACAUUGA